rnacentral:siRNA from 1 species
CACUUUCUGCCUGUUACUCGAC